rnacentral:rRNA from 1 species
UACAUAGGUCCCGAGCGUUGUCCGGAUUUAUUGGGCGUAAAGCGAGCGCAGGUGGUUUAUUAAGUCUGGUGUAAAAAGCAGUGGCUCAACCAUUGUAUGCAUUGGAAACUGGUAGACUUGAGUGCAGGAGAGGAGAGUGGAAUUCCAUGUGUAGCGGUGAAAUGCGUAGAUAUAUGGAGGAACACCGGUGGCGAAAGCGGCUCUCUGGCCUGUAACUGACACUGAGGCUCGAAAGCGUGGGGAGCAAACAGG